rnacentral:lncRNA from 1 species
GUUUGAGCUGGUGUGGAUAGCUGGUUCCCUGGCAACCCCUUUCCGGGUGGCUUUAGCAUCCUUAAUGAGCUGCUCUCCACCCGUGGUUGACAUGUGGUGGGGUGCUAGGUCUCUGGGUCCUCCUGGACUAUCAGCCAGGUACUUUCCUGGCAAGAGGGAUUCCUUCUCUAACCUUUACUUCCGGACUUUCAGAUCCCAUCCAGCUGCAUUGUUAACGACCUAGGAGGGCCUCUUAUAAAGGCUGUGCCUGCCCCAGACUGACUUGCUGGCUUGAGUGUGCUUGUGUACAAACACAGAGAGAGGUCUGUGGCUCUGGACUCAGCCGUAGCUGGCUCAGGACUCUGCCUGUCACCAUCUCUCCCUGUGGCUUCCUUUUUGGACACAAUCACAAACAAGAGUCGGAAGGCUGGUGAGCACAUGAGACCAGUCAUACGCCCAUCACCGUAAGGUCCUGAUGGGCAGGCUCUAGAAGGAAGGCUGUGGGUCUCUAGCUGUGAUGCUGACUGACCCCGGGCAGAUCGCUUCCCUUCUCUGGUCAUCCAACUCCUCAUCAGUUGAAAGAGGCAGUGGCUGCCAUUGUUCUUCAUGAUGUCCUGAGCGUGGUCUUUGAAUCCAGUGCAGAGCUGUUAGCAAGACGCUUCCUGAGGAAACACAGUGAAAUGCUUUGGAAUGAGAGACUGCUGUGUCAGUGAGGGUACGCUGUAUGGAACCUCAAGAGCUCAGAGAGAAAAUGGACCACAGGAAACAUGCUGCAUACACCUGGACAGGACGUAACCAAGGAGACCAUGCAUGAAGAGCCGAGUGUAAGUCUGGAAGAGAUGAUCAGCGUGGGGAGGGACCCAACAGCUGUGUCACAGAGCUGAGAUGAUCGCCUGGGAUGAGUGGCUUGGCUUAGUGUGUGUGUGUGUGUGUGUGUGUGUGUGUGUGUGUGUGUGUGUGGUAGUUAGACUGUGAGGGUACAAACAGCUCCUGCUUCUGUGGCUCUGGCUUUCAGGCCCACUCAGGAACAGGAAACAAGGUCUGUCUAAGGAAGGGAGCCAGGAUAAGAACCUGCACACCUUCAGGGAAAGUGUGGGUUAGGAAACAAAAUGAAAUAAAACUACCUGUCUGAUGGCUCAGCAAGAUACUAGGAACGCAGAUAUUUCCUCUGCUGGGCCCUUGGUGAACCAGGGCUCUCACACAGGUUAAAUCUGAAUCUGUAUAGCCCAGAAGGAUGGAGACUCACAAGCUAAAGUCUUCAGAUAAAAGGGAACCCAGGCUGCUUACCAGUUUGAUUUACCCCGAGAGUAAAAGUGGUAAUCCUUUGCUGAAGGACUUCUCCAGAAUCUAGGAUGAGAGGAAUUGCACAGAGUGCACAAGCCACAGUAGAGAUGAGAACACUGCCCACCAUGUUCACGAGAUGGAGGAUGCGAUGACCAGGACCAGCGAGCCUGGAAACUGGGGUAUGGGAAGGUAAAGGAAAAAUAUGAGCUUGUCUAAAUUUAAUAAAGAAUGUGCUUCAAAACAAAAACAAAAACAAAACAAAACCAACAACUUUUAAAAAUUCCAGCACUUGGGAGGCAGAGGAAGGCAUAUUUCUGAGUUUGAGGCCAGCCUGGUCUACAGAGUGAGUUCCAGGACAGUCAGGGCUACACAGAAACCCUGUCUCAAAAAACCAACCCCUCCCUCAAAAAAUAAAAAGGAUGUGCUCAUAAAUGACACAUAUACAAAGUUGCUUACUGCAGUGUUGCUUACAAAAACAAAGCAAAGCAAACAUGAGGAGAACCUGGACACAACAACCCAUGUGCUUGUUUGGAGGACUGACUAAAAAACAAACAAACAAACAAACAAAAAAACAGAGCAAACCAACAGUGAAGAAAUAUCCCAUGUUUACUAAUAUGAACCAAGGGAUGUCUUAGUAAUUAAAAACAACGUUUAUAUACUUAGCCAUUUGAUUAAAGAAGUGUGUGCAUGUGUGUGUGUGAAAACAAUUUAUAUUUGUGUGUAUAGUAACAUUGAACAAUUUUUAGAAAACUAAUACAUGGUGCUGGGUAGGUUAUAAGCCUGGGGGAAGAGAGAGCCACUGGGCCUGGCUUGAGUGUUUCAAACCCCAAAUGUAGUCUCUCCUCCCCCAGCCUGAAACCUGCUUGCUCGGGGUGGAGCUUCCUGCUCAUUCGUUCUGCC